UCGUAUAAUGGAGGCAUCGGGGCUGUCGCUAACUUUGUGCACGCCUCGGUGCUCUCUCACAAUCCAUCUCACCCUUUGUGCAUCACCGCGUGGGUGCUCUCCUUUCGAGAGGGGGGAGGCUUUCGUCUUUUUUACACACACACACAAUACAGUCUGGUAGUAUAGAAUGUCAUUCAUUUGCGAUAACACGCAAUCAAUA
rnacentral:misc_RNA from 1 species